rnacentral:misc_RNA from 1 species
GAUGAAGAACGUAGCGAAAUGCGAUAAGUAAUGUGAAUUGCAGAAUUCAGUGAACCAUCGAAUCUUUGAACGCACAUUGCGCCCGGCAGUAAUCUGCCGGGCAUGCCUGUCCGAGCGUCAUUUCUCCCCUCGAGCGCAGCUUUCCCCCCCGGGGGAGGGCCGCGCCCGGUGUUGGGGCGCUACGGAGGAGCCCAGCGCUCCCCCGUAGGCCCCGAAAUGUAGUGGCGGUCCCGCCGCGGCGCCCCCUGCGUAGUAGUUUCACAACUCGCAUCGGGUCCCGGCGGAGGCCAGCCGUCAAACCCCCCAACUUCAAUAGUUUGACCUCGGAUCAGGUAGGGUUACCCGCUGAACUUAAGCAUAUCAAUAAGCGGAGGA